GUGCUUGCUUAGGUAACAUAUAUACUAAAUUGUAAUUAUACAGAGAAACUUAGUAUGACCCUUGUACAAUGAUGACACACAGAUUCAUGAUCAUUCCAUGCUUUUC
rnacentral:snRNA from 1 species